rnacentral:rRNA from 1 species
GAUCGAUGACCAGUCUGACGGAGCACGCCGCGUGAGUGAGAGGUUUUCGGAUCGUAAAGCUCUGUUGUUAGGAAGAACAGGGGAAAGAGUAACUGUUUUCCCCCUGACGGUAUCUGACCAGAAAGCCACGGCUAACUACGUGCCAGCAGCCGCGGUAAUACAA